AUUGAACGCUGGCGGCAGGCCUAACACAUGCAAGUCGAACGAGUGGCGGACGGGUGAGUAAUGUCUGGGAAACUGCCCGAUGGAGGGGGAUAACUACUGGAAACGGUAGCUAAUACCGCAUACCAUCGGAUGUGCCCAGAUGGGAUUAGCUUGUAGGUGAGGUAACGGCUCACCUAGGCGACGAUCCCUAGCUUGUCUGAGAGGAUGACCAACGACACGGGAAUGGAGAGACGGUCGAGAGUCUGACGGGAGGCAGCAGUGGGGAAUAUUGCAAAAGGGGCGGAAGACUGAUGCAGCCAGGCGGCGUGGAUGAAGAAGGCCUGAGGGUUGUAAAGUACUGUCAGCGGGGAGGCGUUACCCGCAGAAGAAGCACCGGCUAACUCCGUGCCAGAAGCCGCGGUAAUAC
rnacentral:rRNA from 1 species